UACGUAGGGUGCAAGCGUUAAUCGGAAUUACUGGGCGUAAAGCGUGCGCAGGCGGUUGUGCAAGACAGAUGUGAAAUCCCCGGGCUCAACCUGGGAAUUGCAUUUGUGACUGCACGGCUAGAGUGUGUCAGAGGGGGGUAGAAUUCCACGUGUAGCAGUGAAAUGCGUAGAGAUGUGGAGGAAUACCGAUGGCGAAGGCAGCCCCCUGGGAUAACACUGACGCUCAUGCACGAAAGCAUGGGGAGCGAACAGG
rnacentral:rRNA from 1 species